UAGUUGGCCACUCUAGCGAGACUGCCGGUAAUAAACCGGAGGAAGGUGGGGAUGACGUCAAAUCAUCAUGCCCCUUAUGACCUGGGCUACACACGUGCUACAAUGGCUGGUACAACGAGUCGCAAGUCGGUGACGGCAAGCUAAUCUCUUAAAGCCAGUCUCAGUUCGGAUUGUAGGCUGCAACUCGCCUACAUGAAGUCGGAAUCGCUAGUAAUCGCGGAUCAGCACGCCGCGGUGAAUACGUUCCCGGGCCUUGUACACACCGCCCGUCACACCACGAGAGUUUGUAACACCCGAAGUCGGUGAGGUAACCU
rnacentral:rRNA from 1 species